AGGAGAGACUGGACGGAUGUGAAGUGAACUGUCUCCUGGCCCUUGUUCCUUUUUUCUUGGGUGGCGCCGGGAAACCACAUGCUUGCAGAAUCGAGCCGUGCCUGAGCUGCAGAGAGAACAGUAUCCUUUGAGACUAACAGGUGGAAACAGAUGGCACAGAACGGGGGAGGCAGUGGCCCUGGCGGGGACUCUGGGACCAACAGAUAUGUCAGACUUGGUGAGAAAGAAAUGUAGGAGUUCCUGCUGUGGCAUAAGGGGAUUGGUGGCAUCUCUGGAGCAUUGGGACACAGGUUCAAUCCCCGGCCCAGCGCAAUGGGUUAAGCAUCCGGUGUUACUGCAGCUGUCAUUGCAAAGCAGGGGUACUUGAUUAAUUGGAGGGAAACAAAGGACCUUUCUGACACAAACAAAUGAACUUGGGUUGGGUGACCUGAUGGUUAGAAGAGAUCUCAGCCUAGACAAAGGAUAAGAAGGUUCCAAAAGUUAAUCACUCACCAGGCUUCUUAAAAGCCAGGCCACCUGGAGAGAAAGUCUUGCCCUGGUGGCAUAUUUGUCAUAAUGUUCUAGAAGAAGAACAAGGAUACUUGAUGUUACAGAUUCCUCCUUCCUGUACAGGGGUUGGACCUGGAGAGGAAGCUUCCCACCUGGGCAGCCACCACCACCACUACCACCCCCGGCCACCAGAAAUGUAGUUGUGUUGCGGGCGACAUAUGUGAUCUAACCCAGGCCAUCUAGGCUGUUAUAACAAAGUACCAUAAGCUGGUGGCUUAAGCAACAAGCAUUUAGGAGUUCCCAUUGUGGUUCAGUGGGUUACCAACCCAACUAGUAUCCAUGAGGACUCAGGUUCGAUCCCUGGCCUCGCUCAGUGGGUUAAGGAUCCAGUGUUGCCCUGAGCUGGCAUAGGCUGGCAGCUGCAGCUCCAAUUUGACCCUUAGCCUGGGAAUUUCCAUAUGCCAUGGGUGUGGCCCUAAAAAGCAAAACAACACUGAAAAUGUACGUUGAUUUCUCACAGUUCUGGAGGCUGGGGAGUCCAAGGUCACGGCAUUGGCAGACUGGGUGUCUGGCGAGAACCUGCUUCCUGGUUCAGGGCAUCUCCCACUGUGUGCCCACGUGGUGGAGGGGGAGGGAGCUCUCUGGGGUCUGUUUUCUUUUUCUUUUUUUCUUUUUUGGCUGCCCCGUGGCAGGUGGAGUUCCCUGGCCAGGGAUCAGAUCCAAACUGCAGUUUCAUCCUAUGCCAGGGCUGUGGUAAACCUCAGAUCCUUUAACCCACUGUGUUGGGCAGGGGAUCAAAUCUGCGUCCUGGUGCUACAGACGCACGGCCAAUCCCACUGCGCCACAGCGUGAACUUCUCUGGGGUCUCUUUUAUAUGCCUCUUUGCAUCCUAUGUCACAUCUUUCUCGGAACAAGAUCACAUUUGGUUUUAUAGGAAUUUAUUUGAAGAAAACACAAUGCCAACCACCUUGGGCACACCCAAAGCAGAUCUGUCCUCAGGUCACCCUUGCAGCUCUAGAUGGUAGGUUGUUCUGUUGGAGCAGGAAUCCUCAAAGCAUAACACACUUAGGGAUCACCUGGCAUCGUGUUAAAAUGAGGAUUCGAAGUCAGCAGGUCUGGGGCAGGGCCUGGGAUUCUGCAUUCCUACCAAGCUUCCAAAUGGUGCCAGUGUGGUGAGUCUAUGCUCCACACCUAGAGGGCCAAGGAGGCAAGCUGCCCUCAUGUGAUUUGAGUGUUUUUAGGCCUCGCCCAAAUGCUGUCACUGGGGCUUGAGUUUCCAGUACUGGGUUCUGGCUUUGAGAGCUCCCUGCAGACACAGUCUAGGAGCCAGCGUGCUAGAAAGGGCUGAUGGUGAGGUCUCUAUCUCCAGACAUACACACAACUUUGCCCAAACUCCCAAGAAAAGAAUAGAUUCAGACCCAGCUGGGUGGAACCACUUUGUUCACUGAGAUGCCUGACAGAUGAAAAUGGUGGGGAUGGAGUUCCCAUGUGGCUCAUUGGGUUAAGAACCUGACAUAACGUCCAUGAGGAUGCAUGUUCCAUCUCCGGCCUCACUCAGUGGAUUAAGGAUCCGGUGUUGCCAUGAGCUGUGGUGUAGGUCGCAGACACAGCUUGGAUCCAGUGUUGCUGUGACUGUGGUAUAGGCUGGCAGCUGCAGCUCUGAUUUGACCCCUAGCCUGGGAACUUCCAUAUGCCGCAGGUGCGGCCCAAAAAUGAAAAGGAAAGGAAAGAAAAGAGAAGAGACGAGACGAGACGAGACGAGAAGAGAAUGGUGAGGAGACCCCGUCAGGAAGUUACAGGAUCAUAUAGGCUCGACGCCCCUAUAAUUUUUUCUUUGGCAUCUGAAAUCCACAGCCUCAGAGGAAACAAGCUCUCCUACCCCCAACCCACAGAAUUGAGAAAUCCUUCAGGAACCUAAGAUUGAGGGGGUGGUUUGCUUUUUUUCCUUUUUUGAAUUUUUGAAAGUUAAAACAUCUGCAAGCUCCUAUGUCAGAGACAAUGGAUCAUUACGUGAAAACAAGAAGGGCAGACUUCUUGUGCCAGAAAGUAAGGAAAAGUCGAAGGAAUGAGGGGACUGUAGCAAGAGGAUCCUAGCUUGGGUUCCCUGUAACCGUCUAGGUUUCUGGAUUUGCUGCUUUGACAGGUCCCGGGCCUUUCAGGCUCUGGAGGGACUGCCCCUGCCCGGGUUAGCUCAUUACUCAAGAUAGUCCUUGAAGCCCUGGAGAGCCUGCUUUUCAUAUGCAAACCAACCCUUAGGAGCCUAAACCCCAACCACAUCCUCAACUGGGUUCAGUUUCAGGGCCACUGUCCCCCAGCCUUACUCCUGCCAGGGCCGGUUUCCACACGGAAGGGACAGCCCCUGUGCCCCAGAAAUAACUGAAGUGAUCAAAGCAGCCAGUUCUAACCCCAGGCUCAUCCAUUCCUUCCUGCGGAAACUACGAUCAAAGUUCCCACAUUUCCCCCCCUCACGCUCUCUGCCUCCCAACUGACUCCACGUUGCCUCGUCACCCAAGUGGCCCUGUGAGGCAAAGCUGUGCCUUCCUGUGUUUCUAGGAAUCAGGAUCAGAGAAUAAAAAAAGUCUCCCUCUGGAGAUUCUCUUGUGGCUCGGUGGGUUAAGGACCCAAUAUACUGUCCUUGAGGAUGCUGGUUCGUUCCCUGGCCUUGCUCAGAGGGUUGAGGAUCUGGUGUGGCCGUGGCUGUGGUGUAGGCCAGAAGCUGCAGCUCUGAUUCGACCCCUAGCCUGGGAACCUCCAUAUGCCAUGAGUGUGGCCGUGAAAA
rnacentral:lncRNA from 1 species